rnacentral:rRNA from 1 species
AACGAACGCUGGCGGCAGGCUUAACACAUGCAAGUCGAGCGCCCCGCAAGGGGAGCGGCAGACGGGUGAGUAACGCGUGGGAACGUACCCUUCGGUUCGGAAUAACUCAGGGAAACUUGGGCUAAUACCGGAUACGUCCGUGAGGAGAAAGAUUUAUCGCCGAAGGAUCGGCCCGCGUUGGAUUAGCUAGUUGGUGGGGUAAUGGCCUACCAAGGCGACGAUCCAUAGCUGGUCUGAGAGGAUGAUCAGCCACACUGGGACUGAGACACGGCCCAGACUCCUACGGGAGGCAGCAGUGGGGAAUAUUGGACAAUGGGCGAAAGCCUGAUCCAGCCAUGCCGCGUGAGUGAUGAAGGCCCUAGGGUUGUAAAGCUCUUUCAGUGGGGAAGAUAAUGACGGUACCCACAGAAGAAGCCCCGGCUAACUUCGUG